ACCAGGGCUGGAACUUGGUGCCCCAUCUCUCAGGCCUGGGGCUCCCCUGUGCGUUCAUUAAUAAAUAUCUGCAGAGCACCUACAGGUGCAAGGCGCUGAGCUAGGACUGAGAGAGCAAAGGCUUCGAGGCAAGAGUGAUCAUGGCCUUUUGAGAAAAACGAACUCAGCCAAACUCAGGGAGGAAGAAAGCAGUGAGAAAUGGGGGCAAAGAGUUAAUCAGGAAUCAGGUGAUGAAAGGGCCUCACAUGCUAUGUCAAGCCAAGGUAUUUGGGUAUUACCCCAGGGGCAAGGUAGACCACCAAAUGGUUUAAGCUUUCGCGCACAUGCGUGUGUACAUGUGCGCGCAUGCUUGCGCAGUAAGAUUUGCCCUUUAGAGAAGUCCCUCUGGUCGCAGUGGGGACAGCGGAUGACGGAUGAAAGCAGGAGCGGUGAGACGGGCGGGAGACGACUGUGACCACACAGUUCGGUCCCCCAGCUCCAAGGUAGGCGUCUCUCCUUGUUCGGAGCUGUUGCUACUGUUGCCGUUAUAAGGAGAAUGGACUUGGUGCUUGAAGCGGCGCAGCAUGAUCAGGUAGAUGAAGCCGCCAUUCCAGCACUGCUCAGCCAGGAUUCUUACCCACCAUUAGAAUAUUUAAACUUCAAAGCCAACAUUAGAGAAACCAGAAACGAAAUACAAUCACGUGACUUAGAAAAAUAGAAGGUCUCCUCUUCGUUAACACCAGGUAAAAUUAGCUUUUCAGAAGCUUCUCUACCAUACGAUUAUUUUUUGGUUUCUUCCAAAAAUUUGAAACUGUCCUCUGGCAUGUAAAAUUAUGCACUCAAUUCAAUUAAAAUUUAU